rnacentral:rRNA from 1 species
AUUGAACGCUGGCGGCAUGCCUUACACAUGCAAGUCGAACGGCAGCGCGGGAGCUUGCUCCUGGCGGCGAGUGGCGAACGGGUGAGUAAUACAUCGGAACGUGUCCGUUUGUGGGGGACAACCAGCCGAAAGGUUGGCUAAUACCGCAUAAGACCUGAGGGUGAAAGCCGGGGACCGCAAGGCCUGGCGCAGACGGAGCGGCCGAUGAUUGAUUAGCUUGUUGGCGGGGUAAAGGCCCACCAAGGCGACGAUCAAUAGCUGGUCGGAGAGGACGAGCAGCCACACUGGAACUGAGACACGGUCCAGACUCCUCCGGGAGGCAGCAGUGGGGAAUUUUGGACAAUGGGGGCAACCCUGAUCCAGCCAUGCCGCAUGCGGGAAGAAGGCCUUCGGGUUGUAAACCGCUUUUGUCAGGGACGAAAAGGGACGGGUUAAGAGCUAGUUCCGCUGACGGUACCUGAAGAAUAAGCACCGGCUAACUACGUGCCAGCCGCCGCAGUAA